GGCUACAUCACAUCUAGUUAUCAUGACCAUGAUGCUGUCAAGAGGUUUAGUAAAGUCUGAUCACUGCUUUACAUCUCAUCACACGCUUCAGUGCUCUGUGUGUUUAUAACAGUCUGACUUUAUAACACAGUGCUGGAAAAACAACAAAUACACAAAAUGAAUCUCUUCAUCAUCACCUUCAUCUGGAUUCUUGGAGGUUUUAUUCAAGAAUCCAGAGGAGUUACUGUAACUCAGAGUAAAGAUCAAUCUGUUUCUGUUGGACAAACCGUCAAUAUAAAGUGUACAACUGAUACUGGAAUAUAUUACAGUAAUUUAUAUUGGUAUCAGCAGAAACCUGGAGAAACUCCUAAACUCAUCAUUAGGGCUAUUAAUACUCGUCAUGGUGACACUUCACAGAGAUUCAGUGGCAGUGGAGCAUCUGGUGGUACAGAUUUUACUCUGAGCAUCAGUGAAGUUCAGACUGAAGAUGCAGGAGAUUAUUACUGUCAGAGUUUUCACAUCAUCAGUGGUAGCUAUGUGUUCACACAGUGA